UACAGAGGGGGCAAGCGUUAUUCGGAAUUAUUGGGCGUAAAGGGCGCGUAGGCGGCUUUUCAAGUGACGGGUGAAAGCCCCUCGGCUUAACCGAGGAACCGCCUGUCAUACUGGGAGGCUUGAGACCGGGAGAGGUGAGUGGAAUUCCCCAGUGUAGCGGUGAAAUGCGUAGAUAUUGGGAGGAACACCAGUGGCGAAGGCGGCUCACUGGACCGGUACUGACGCUGAGGCGCGAAAAGCGUGGGGGAGCGAACAGGGAUUAGAAAACCCCCCAGUAGUCCCAGACC
rnacentral:rRNA from 1 species